rnacentral:lncRNA from 1 species
CCUGAGAGGCACAGCCAAGCAGGCCUAGGCACAUUUGCAUCCCUUCCCCAGGCCUGCUGGGACUUCAUAUGGCUCUGGUGUGGCUGUUAAUUAUAGCAAACACAGUCAUAGCUGGAGAGUCCUCGUGUGGCCUCGUUGAGCCGAAGGCUAAAAAGAUGCCUCGGGUGGUGGCCAAAUAAUGGAAGCCCAGUGAUGCGAGAGCGCUCUGUUUACUGAAGUGAAGCCCCUCUGGGGAAAAAUCUCACCAGAGACCAUGGAGACUCCAAAGAGUGGAUGGAAGAGGCUGUGUCGGCCUGGGAAGCUAGCUCUGUCAGUAAAGGGCUUGCCCCAAGGGGACCAGAGUUUGAUCCCCAGUACUCAGGUGAACGCAGGCUGUCAGUGCUGGGGAGGUAGGACAGAUUGGAGCCCUGGGGCCUGCCUAGCUUAUUUGGUGACUUCUCAGGGGUGGCGAGACUGUCUCCAAAAACAAUGUGGAUGGCACCUGAGGAUAUACAACUGAGGUUGUCCUCUGACCACCACAUCCACAACUAUUGUUGCACAUAGACGCACCUACACACAAACACAUGUGAACAAACACAAGUGUACACACAUCACCAAGGGGUUACUCAGCCUGGUCAAGGAGGAAAAAUGGCUUGCGUUUUUGUUUGUUUGUUUGUUUGUUUGUUUUUUGUUUGUUUGUUUUUAUGGCAGUAAUGUCUGAGGUAUCAGGCAGGGGCAUUUGAAGUUUGUAUGCAGAGACCCACCGUGGGGCAGACGGAUGAAUGUGUUUGGAGGAUCCUGGCAAGCUUGCUUCUGUACCUCUAGGUUCCGUGCCUCCUCCUGCAUGCCACCCAGCCUAUGAACCCUGC